rnacentral:rRNA from 1 species
UGGGGAAUUUUGGACAAUGGGGGAAACCCUGAUCCAGCCAUCCCGCGUGUGCGAUGAAGGCCUUCGGGUUGUAAAGCACUUUUGGCAGGAAAGAAACGUCAUGGGUUAAUACCCCGUGAAACUGACGGUACCUGCAGAAUAAGCACCGGCUAACUACGUGCCAGCAGCCGCGGUAAUACGUAGGGUGCAAGCGUUAAUCGGAAUUACUGGGCGUAAAGCGUGCGCAGGCGGUUCGGAAAGAAAGAUGUGAAAUCCCAGAGCUCAACUUUGGAACUGCAUUUUUAACUACCGGGCUAGAGUGUGUCAGAGGGAGGUAGAAUUCCGCGUGUUGCAGUGAAAUGCGUAGAUAUGCGGAGGAACACCGAUGGCGAAGGCAGCCUCCUGGGAUAACACUGACGCUCAUGCACGAAAGCGUGGGGAGCAAACAGG